rnacentral:lncRNA from 1 species
AACAUGUGAAAACUUAAGAAAGAUCCCUGGCUGUCUCCCACCCUGCCUUCUCCCUACUUCCCAAAGCCUACAAACCAAUCUAGACAAGUUCCUGACUGUACCAUAAACCAUUUCUCAGGGAGCUGGAAUGCAUUCAUACUUGACUUCAACUUGCUGGAAGUGAGAGUGACAGCAGGCAGGAGGAGACAAGUAUAACUGCCAGGGAAAGAGAGACCAAACCAGACUGCCAAAAAUAACCAAGGCCUUAGCAGAAGCCUGGGCCACAGUAUAACAUCCUGCCAUGGCCGGCAAAGGGCCUAGGGUCCAAAUACUGCCCCUUUUUGAAAGGUUGACCCACAUCUUAGAUGAAGGGGCUGGAACAGUUAGGUGGCCUUCUACCCUGCUUCUUCCUUGUCUUUGUGGGGAAGGGAAGAAGACACUGUAGUACACAAGGUUGCUUGGGAAAAUGGAUUAUUCUAAUAAAACUUUAUUUUUUCAAACACAGCCACAGAGGCAGAACCUCAUGUUUAACACACACAGACUUAUGGAUUUUUCUUUUAAUAUAAAACAAAGUUUACGAAAAUUUUUUUCCACUUUUUGUAUUUGUAAUCCCAUUAGCACAGGGACUUUGGCAGCAGGUGGGAGUGAAGGGCAGCUGAGCUGCCACUGGGCAGUCACUGGGCACAGGAGGAGAGCACCAGCCUGGGGAGUGGCUUCACUCACACACACAGGGAUACUCACCUACUGGCCAACCACACUACACACACAGCACAGAUGCAGACAUUGACCCAGUGUCAGCCACAUGCCCUGGAGGUGUGCUCCACUCUGGGUAAGCCCAAUAUGUGAAAAUUCAAAUAGUCAAAACAGCUAAAGUGGAGGGAGAAGAUUUCCAGCUGCCCUGAGUCGGAGCCCUCCACUCACCCCCAUUCCCAGGCUCGGCCCCCAGCCUUGGGGACUCGACACUUGUUAG